rnacentral:rRNA from 1 species
CGACGGAGGGUGCAAACGUUGUUCGGAAUCAUUGGGCAUAAAGGGCACGCAGGCGGCCCAGUCAGUCAGUUGUGAAAUCCCACGGCUCAACCGUGGAACUGCAUCUGAUACUGCUGGGCUAGAGUAUGGUUGGGGUGAGUGGAACUCCUGGUGGAGCGGUGAAAUGCGUAGAUAUCAGGAGGAACACCAGUGGCGAAAGCGGCUCACUGGACCAUUGCUGACGCUGAGGUGCGAAAGCUAGGGUAGCGAACGGGAUUAGAAACCCCAGUAGUCC